CCCUUAGAUGUCCUGGGCUGCACGCGCGCUACACUGAUGUGUCCAGUAAGCACCUAACCUCUUCCGAAAGGAACGGGUAACCUUUGCAAAGCACAUCGUGAUGGGGAUAGAUUAUUGCAAUUAUUAGUCUUGAACGAGGAAUUCCUAGUAAGCACAAGUCAUCAGCUUGUGUUGAUUACGUCCCUGCCCUUUGUACACACCGCCCGUCGCUCCUACCGAUUGAAUGUUCCGGUGAGCUCUUCGGACUGCGCGGUCUGCAGUUUCUGCGUUCCGUGCGGAAAGUCGCGCAAACCUUAACAUUUAGAGGAAGGAGAAGUCGUAACA
rnacentral:rRNA from 1 species